UUUAAUCAUAAGAAAAACAGGAUUGAAUGCCCAAAAUCACAGCAAGUAGGAGAUGAUGAGAGUCCUAUAUUCCCUGAGCAUGACAAUCAUCAUUUUCUUUCAUUGACACUGAACUAGAGUAAGUGACGAGGGAGGCUCACCUUACGAGCAAAGAGGGAACAGCAAAAGGGAUUUUGCUGUUCUGAAUUAAGGUGGUACCACGAGCUUUCGUCCUUUUU
rnacentral:ncRNA from 1 species